rnacentral:rRNA from 1 species
UACGGAGGGUGCAAGCGUUAUCCGGAUUCACUGGGUUUAAAGGGUGCGUAGGCGGGUAGGUAAGUCCGUGGUGAAAUCUCUGAGCUUAACUCAGAAACUGCCAUGGAUACUAUUUGUCUUGAAUAUUGUGGAGGUAAGCGGAAUAUGUCAUGUAGCGGUGAAAUGCUUAGAUAUGACAUAGAACACCAAUUGCGAAGGCCGCUUACUACACAGUUAUUGACGCUGCGGCACGAAAGCGUGGGGAUCAAACAGG